UACAGAGGUCUCAAGCGUUGUUUCGGAUUCAUUGGGCGUAAAGGGUGCGUAGGCGGCGCGGUAAGUCGGGUGUGAAAUCUUGGAGCUUAACUCCGAAACUGCAUUCGAUACUGCCGUGCUUGAGGACUGGAGAGGAGACUGGAAUUUACGGUGUAGCGGUGAAAUGCGUAGAUAUCGUAAGGAAGACCAGUGCGAAGGCGGGUCUCUGGACAGUUCCUGA
rnacentral:rRNA from 1 species